AGUGAACGCUGGCGGUAGGCCUAACACAUGCAAGUCGAACGGCAGCACAGUAAGAGCUUGCCCUUACGGGUGGCGAGUGGCGGACGGGUGAGGAAUACAUCGGCAUCUACUUUUUCGUGGGGGAUAACGUAGGGCCACUUACGCUACUACCGCAUACGACCUACGGGUGAAAUCAGGGGAUCUUCGCACCUUGCGCGAUUCAAUUAGCCGAUGUCGGAUUAGCUAGUUGGCGGGGUAAAGGCCCACCAAGGCGACGAUCCGUAGCUGAUCUGAGAGGAUGAUCAGCCACACUGGAACUGAGACACGGUCCAGACUCCUACGGGAGGCAGCAGUAGGGAAUAUUGCGCAAUGGGCGAAAGCUUGACCGAGCAACACCGCGUGAGUGAAGAAGGUCUUCGGGUUGUAAAGCCCUUUUGUUAGGGAAGAAAAGCAGUGGGAUAAUAUCUCGCUGUUCUGACGGUACCCAAAGAAUAAGCACCGGCUAACUUCGUG
rnacentral:rRNA from 1 species